rnacentral:rRNA from 1 species
UUUUGGACAAUGGGGGCAACCCUGAUCCAGCAAUGCCGCGUGAGUGAAGAAGGCCUUCGGGUUGUAAAGCUCUUUUGUCAGCGAAGAAACAGCAGCUCUAACACAGUUGUGAAUGACGGUACCUGAAGAAUAAGCACCGGCUAACUACGUGCCAGCAGCCGCGGUAAUACGUAGGGUGCAAGCGUUAAUCGGAAUUACUGGGCGUAAAGCGUGCGCAGGCGGUUAUACAAGACAGGCGUGAAAUCCCCGGGCUUAACCUGGGAAUUGCGUCUGUGACUGUAUAGCUAGAGUGUGUCAGAGGGGGGUAGAAUUCCACGUGUAGCAGUGAAAUGCGUAGAUAUGUGGAGGAAUACCAAUGGCGAAGGCAGCCCCCUGGGACAACACUGACGCUCAUGCACGAA